rnacentral:rRNA from 1 species
AGAGUUUGAUCAUGGCUCAGAUUGAACGCUGGCGGCAGGCUUAACACAUGCAAGUCGAGCGGAAACGAUGGGAGCUUGCUCCCAGGCGUCGAGCGGCGGACGGGUGAGUAACACUUAGGAAUCUACCUAGUAGUGGGGGAUAGCUCGGGGAAACUCGAAUUAAUACCGCAUACGACCUACGGGAGAAAGGGGGCAGUUUACUGCUCUCGCUAUUAGAUGAGCCUAAGUCGGAUUAGCUAGAUGGUGGGGUAAAGGCCUACCAUGGCGACGAUCUGUAGCUGGUCUGAGAGGAUGAUCAGCCACACCGGGACUGAGACACGGCCCGGACUCCUACGGGAGGCAGCAGUGGGGAAUAUUGGACAAUGGGGGGAACCCUGAUCCAGCCAUGCCGCGUGUGUGAAGAAGGCCUUUUGGUUGUAAAGCACUUUAAGCAGUGAAGAAGACCUAACGGUUAAUACCCGUUAGCGAUGACAUUAGCUGCAGAAUAAGCACCGGCUAACUCUGUGCCAGCAGCCGCGGUAAUACAGAGGGUGCAAGCGUUAAUCGGAAUUACUGGGCGUAAAGCGAGCGUAGGUGGCUUGAUAAGUCAGAUGUGAAAUCCCCGGGCUUAACCUGGGAACUGCAUCUGAUACUGUUAAGCUAGAGUAGGUGAGAGGGAAGUAGAAUUCCAGGUGUAGCGGUGAAAUGCGUAGGGAUCUGGAGGAAUACCGAUGGCGAAGGCAGCUUCCUGGCAUCAUACUGACACUGAGGCUCGAAAGCGUGGGUAGCAAACAGGAUUAGAUACCCUGGUAGUCCACGCCGUAAACGAUGUCUACUAGCCGUUGGGUCCCUUGAGGACUUAGUGACGCAGCUAACGCAAUAAGUAGACCGCCUGGGGAGUACGGCCGCAAGGUUAAAACUCAAAUGAAUUGACGGGGGCCCGCACAAGCGG